GGGAUUGUAGACAGAGUAGGGAUCAUAGACAGAGAAGGGAUUGUAGACAGAGUAGGGAUUGUAGACAGAGAAGGGAUUGUAGACAGAGUAGGGAUUGUAGACAGAGUAGGGAUUGUAGACAGAGAAGGGAUCAUAGACAGAGUAGGGAUCAUAGACAGAGAAGGGAUUGUAGACAGAGUAGGGAUUGUAGACAGAGUAGGGAUUGUAGACAGAGUAGGGAUUGUAGACAGAGAAGGGAUUGUAGACAGUAGGGAUUGUAGACAGAGAAGGGAUCAUAGACAGAGUAGGGAUUGUAGACAGAGAAGGGAUCAUAGACAGAGAAGGGAUUGUAGACAGAGUAGGGAUUGUAGACAGAGUAGGGAUUGUAGACAGAGUAGGGAUUGUAGACAGAGAAGGGAUCAUAGACAGAGUAGGGAUCAUAGACAGAGAAGGGAUUGUAGACAGAG